rnacentral:misc_RNA from 1 species
UCUAACUCCAAGAUUUGUUGCCAAAGUUGAUAUCUUGUACUUGCGAUCCCCCUCUACAUCUGGAAGAUCUUUCGUUAUGGCAAUAACCAGCGCAAACAAAGUUACAAAGAUUGUGAUGAAUGCCACAGGUGAGCUCCACUCAAAUGGAAGUCCAAGCGCAGCUCUUGUGGCAUGAUAUACUCCAAAAUUGAGAAGAAAACCGCGCACCGUAGCAAUUAUGAGAAAUGCCACAACAGCAAAUCUCUUCAUUCUAAAUGGAGGAACAGAGUAGAUGGUGCCCAAGAAAAGACCAAGGCAGUAAAGAGAAGUGAUGAAUGGACCAAAGUUUAAUCCAACAACAAGGAAUCCAGUCACUGCGAAAAAUGUCACCAGUAACCAUGCAGAUUGAACUGAAAGAUCCCCUGCGGCUAUAGGUAAAUAAGGUUUAUUAACCUUGUCAAUUCCAAUAUCAUAGAUCUGAU